AUUCUUUUGAUUUUGGGGAAAAUAUAAAGCGAGCGGCACUUAUAAUACAUGCUAGGGAACUACACCCAAGGAAUAUUUUGGUUAAUACGUCCCGGACAGGUGAGUAAUGUUCUGGAACUAACUAAUUAGGGGUAUUACUGCUAAUUACUAGGCUAGAAUCGUAUUAGGUGACUUGCCAAGGAUGCGUAGCCGAGAGGCCACACUUACACUGAAACAAGGGUAAUACUCGUAGGAGGCAGCAGUAGAGAAUAUUGUGCAAUGUAUGAAAGUAUGACACAGAGAUGUCGCAUAAAUAGACCGUCCAAUAUACGUGCCAGCAGACGCGGUUAUACGUAAGGUCUGAGUUUUUAUUAGGAAAAAGGCGUAAAGAGUGUAUAGGCGGACCGACAUGGGAUGAGUUUAAUGAGGUAAUUGGAACUUUUAUGUAGCGGUAGAAUGCUUUUAUAUAAAAUGGAACACCAGAGGCAAAGGCGAAUUACUAGUUAAAACUAACGCUGGUACACGAAAGUGGGGGGAGCAAACAGGAUUAGAUACCCUGGUAGUCCCUACUGUAAACUAUGAAUAUCAGAUUGCGGAGUAACGUGAUCGACGAGAACUCAAGAAAAUUCCGCCUGAAGAGUACGGUCGCAAGAUUAAAAUUCAAAAAAUUUGGCGGUUCACAAAACCAAUUAGAGGAGCGUGUAGUUUUAUUCGAUAAUACGCGAUAAACCUUACCAAAACUUGAAACUUUAUAUCAGGUAUUGCAUGGCCGUCGUCAGUUCGUGUUGUGAAAGAAGUAGAACGAACUUAACCCCUAACCGUAAUUGUAAGCCUUGUAUUUACGGGAUGACGUCAGGUCCUUAUGAUCCAAAUGUUUUGGGCCACAUAUGCGCUACAGUUUUUUAUACAAAGUGAUGAUGAAUUAAAGUAAAAGUUCGGAUUGUUCUCUGAAAUGGGGGCAUGAAGUAGGAUUUAAUAGUAAUCGGAAAGUAGAGCGUUUCGGUGAAUCCGGCUCUAGUGUUCGUACAAAUCGCCCGUCACUUCAACCGAGUAGAAGACUCCCAAAGUGUUAGCUGGGUAUUUAAGAAAGGGGGCAUUGUGCAGCAAAGUUAAGUGCCUCUUAGAUUUAUUGGCUUAGCAUUACGGAAAUUCUAUAAGGUUGAAGAAGUCGUAACACAGCGAGGGUAUUGGAAAAUGUCCUCGGACUAAU
rnacentral:rRNA from 1 species